CACAGAAUCGUGUCCCCGCGUAUCCACCACUGUGAUGUCACACAGAAUCGUGUCCCUGCGUAUCCGCCACUGUGAUGUCACACAGAAUCGUGUCCCCGCGUAUCCACCGCUGUGAUGUCACACAGAAUCGUGUCCCCGCGUAUCCACCACUGUGAUGUGGCACAGAAUCAUGUCCCCGCGUAUCCACCACUGUGAUGUGGCACAGAAUCAUGUCCCCACGUAUCCACCACUGUGAUGUCACACAGAAUCGUGUCCCCGCGUAUCCACCACUGUGAUGUCACACAGAAUCGUGUCCCUGCGUAUCCAACACUGUGAUGUCACACAGAAUCGUGUCCCCGCGUAUCCACCACUGUGAUGUCACACAGAAUCGUGUCCCCGUGUAUCCACCGCUGUGAUGUCACACAGAAUCGUGUCCCCGCAUAUCCACCGCUGUGAUGUCGCACAGAACCGUGUCCCCGCGUAUCCACCGCUGCUUAUCCACCGCUGUGAUGUGGCACAGAAUCGUGUCCCCACGUAUCCACCACUGUGAUGUCACACAGAAUCAUGUCCCCGCGUAUCCACCACUGUGAUGUCACACAGAAUCGUGUCCCUGCGUAUCCACUGCUGCGGUGUGGAACAGAAUUGUGUCCCCACUUACAGAAUCAUGUCCCUGCGUAUCCACCACUGUGGUGUCGCACAGAAUCGUGUCCCCGCGUAUCCACCACUGUGGUGUCGCACAGAAUCGUGUCCCCGCGUAUCCACCACUGUGGUGUGGCACAGAAUCGUGUUAUAUGACUGGAAUUAGUAUGUAGCCUUUUCAGAUUGGCAUCUUCCACCCAGUAAUAUGCAUUUAAGUUUCCUCCAUGUCUUUUCAUGACUUGAGAGCUCAUUUCUUUUUAGCACUGAAUCACACAAUUCAUUUAUCCAUUCACCUACUGGAAAAUAAUCUUGGUUGUUUCCAAGUUUGGGCAAUGAUGAACAAAGCUGCUCUAAAUAUCCAUAUACAUGUUUUUUCUGGGACAUAACUUCUUAAUUCCUUAGGGUAAUGCCAAGGCAUGUGAUUGCCGGAUCCUACGGUCAGAGUGCAUUUAGAAACUCAGAUUGUCUCCCAAAGCAGCUGUGCCUUUUUGCAUUCCCACCCACAGUGAAUGAGAGUUCCUGUUGUUCUAUGUCCUCACUGGCGUUCGACACAAUGCAGAGCAUCUUUUCAUGUGAUUAUUUGCCAUCUCUGUAUUCAUAUCUUCUUUGACGAGGUUUUAAAAUCUUUAGCCCAUUUUGAAAUCAGUUCGUUUCUAAUUGUUGACUUUCUCUGUUUUUUUUGUUUGUUUGUUUGUUUGUUUGAGAGGCUGAGUUUCACCGUAUUGCCCAGGCUGGUCUCGAACUCCUGAGCUCAAACAAUCUGCUCGCCUCAGCCUCCCAAGGUGCUGAGAUUGCAGGCAUGAGCCACCACGCCCGGCGAGUUUUGAUUUCUGUUAGGAAAGAGUUUUGUAUGCAUUCUGGAGAACAAUCCUCUCUCACACAUGUCUCUUGCAAGUCCUGUCUCCUAGUCUGCCU
rnacentral:lncRNA from 1 species